rnacentral:lncRNA from 1 species
UUCAAGAAGGAGAUAUUGGCACUAGAAGUUCAACAUUUAAUAUGGAGUACAAGGCCAUACAAAACCUGAUUGGAUUAUCUUGCAUUUCUCUCAAUUGGUAAGUGCAAUUGAUUUCAAUUUUUUUGUUCUUAUUUCUAACUAAGAUAUAUUAAGAAAUAUAAAAAAUUUAAGUUGAUAUCAAUAGUUUGAUCAUUAGUUUUUGAGGUUUCAAUCUACUAUAUGGUUUGUUAAAAGUGUAUUUAAGAUUUAGAAUUUGAUUAGGAUUUGCUUAGGAUUUGGUUUAGGAUUUGUUUAGGAUUUAGGAUUUCAUUAAGGCUUCAAUUAGGAUUUGACCUAAAGAUUGGUUAAGGUUCAAUUAGGAUUUCAAUUAAGAUUUGACUUAAGACUUGAUUAAAAUUUAUUAAGAUUUUAGUUAAGAUUAAAUUAGGAUUUAAUUCAGAUUUAUUUAAUAUUUCUAUUUUUAAU